rnacentral:misc_RNA from 1 species
UCAACCUAGUAGGGAAGUGUCCCUGCGCCCAACGACAUUUUUUGUCGGGAUCGUGGCAAGUCUACGAUCCAGGGGGUGAUGUUGAGAGCCGGAAGGCAAGGGGGUGCAAACACCAGUCGGCCUUUGUCCCGAUUGCUGAGUGUUAUGUGCUUGAUGUCCAAGGCUUGAUGCUGAUCUUCCAAGUGGGGCUUGUCCCUGCACCAAUGGCUUUUGCCAGGAUCAUGGCGUUUGCUAUGAUCGAAAAAAUGAGGGGGUGAUGUUGAGAGCCGGAAGGCAAGGGGGUGCAAACACCAGUCGGCCUUUGUCCCGAUUGCUGAGUGUUAUGUGCUUGACGUCCAAGGCUUGAUGUUGACCCUCCAAGUGGGGCUUUUUUGUUCCUGCGGUAACGACUUUGUUGGGAUCAAUGUGAUCAAGUUUGGUUGGUUUCGUAUUGUGGUGGGUUUUUUCGAAGCUUCUAUCGUUGUUUUACGCAUCGUGCGGUGCAUCUUGGGGGCUGUUUUGGCUUUUGGUUGCUUGCUUGGGCUUUAUGCUAGGCGGGUGGCUAAU